rnacentral:rRNA from 1 species
GCAGUGUCAGGAGAACGGUCUGGAAAGUCCGGCAGUAAAGGGUGAUAGCCCCGUAUCUGAAGAUGCUGUUAUUGUGAACUCGACGAGUAGGGCGGGACACGUGUUAUCCUGUCUGAAUAUGGGGGGACCAUCCUCCAAGGCUAAAUACUCCUGAUUGACCGAUAGUGAACCAGUACCGUGAGGGAAAGGCGAAAAGAACCCCGGCGAGGGGAGUGAAAAAGAACCUGAAACCGUGUACGUACAAGCAGUAGGAGCC